rnacentral:misc_RNA from 1 species
GAUGAAGAACGCAGCGAAAUGCGAUAAGUAAUGUGAAUUGCAGAAUUCAGUGAAUCAUCGAAUCUUUGAACGCACCUUGCGCCCUUUGGCCAUUCCGAAGGGCAUGCCUGUUUGAGUAUCAUGAACACCUCAACUCUUUAUGGUUUUCCAUGAUGAGCUUGGACUCUGGGGGUUUUGCUGGCUCACAGUCGGCUCCUCUAAAAUGAAUCAGCUUACCAGUGUUUGGUGGGUAUCCUGGGUGUGAUAACUAUCUACGCUUGUGGUUUUUCCACCAGGUAACCUUCAGCAGUGGAGGUUCGCUGGAGCUCAUAGAUGUCUCUCCUCAGUGAGGACAGCCCUUUGAAUGUUUGAUCUCAAAUCAGGUAGGACUACCCGCUGAACUUAAGCAUAUCAAUAAGCGGAGGA